rnacentral:lncRNA from 1 species
GGGACUGCGGCCCGCCUCUAUUCGUGCGUCUCCGUCUCCGCAGGUCAGCUCCGCCGAAGGCGCCGCCAAGGAAGAGCCCAAGAGGAGAUCGGCGCGGUUGUCAGCUAAACCUCCUGCAAAAGUGGAAGCGAAGCCGAAAAAGGCAGCAGCGAAGAGUCAAGAUAGCACCGAGGCCAGGAGAAAGGGAACGUGUAAGUUUUUAUAUAUACAGUUUCCAAGCCAACUUCGGGAAGCCUUAACCUUUUUACGGGGUGGGGGUGGGGAGGUAAAAAGUUGUGAUCUCUGAGAAAAUAACCGCCACUACUCUGGAAGUGUUCAUCAGCAGUUAUACAAAACCGUGAUUUUGGCUGCUCCCUAACAAAUUCGUGAUUGCAUGAUUCGAAUUGCAGGUCUGUAGAAUGAAGUUGGCUUUGGGUGUACGUGUGUUUGAUAACUUGCAGGGUGGAAAAGCAGAACAUGUGUAAAACAAGUAUAAGCUUUGUGUUUGGAUAUAGCAUUGAAACCUGUAAAGCUCUACAUGUUCUUCGCGGGGUGAUUAAUUUUUAUCCAAAACUUAGGUGAGAGUUUGCUAUUUGAAGUCUCAAAAAAAAUUUUUGUUAAUGCCUUCACCUCUUU